rnacentral:rRNA from 1 species
CCCCUAAAAAACGACAAACCCUACAGUUCGGAUUGAAGGCUGAAAUUCGCCUUCCAUGAAGCUGGAAUUGCUAGUAAUGGCAGGUCAGCAUACUGCCGUGAAUACGUUCCCGGGCCCUUGUACACACCGCCCGUCACACCAUGAGAGUUGGGAAUACCCGAAGCCUGUGAGCUAACUUAUAGAGGCAGCAGUCGAAGGUAGAAUCAAUGAUUGGGGUGAAGUCGUAACAAGGUAUC